UCUGUUUGGGUUUCCUGUGUUAAUGCUGCAAUCUGGAUCUGGGUACUAACUUGAAAAAAGGAACCUUUUUUGAAUCCUUUCCAUUACUGCUGUCGAUGGUAUCAUUCUUGUAAUUCACUAUCUCUUGGAUAAUAGGAAAAAACAUUGUAUUACAAUGACUGAAUAUUGGCAGUCUCAAGCUAAAAAAUUCUGUGAUUUCUGUAAAUGUUGGAUAACAGACAAUAAGCCAAGCAUUGAAUUCCAUGAGAAUGGCAAGAAGCACAAAGACAAUGUCGAAAGAAGGAUAAAAGAGGUACGCAAAAGAGGAAUACAAGUAAGAAAGGAUGAUGACGAACUCAAGAAAAGUCUUAAAGCAAUAGAGGCUGCUGCAUUAGAAGCAUAUAAAAAGGAUGUUGGCGAAGAUAAUAUUACAGGCAAUACAUCAACAGAUGCCACAUAUAGUUGGAAACAAUGUCCACCUUCAAUGUAUNCAGCUACAACUAAUACUAGUGUAUCAUCAGAAACAGGUUGCAGCAUUUCCUAUAUAGAUGGUCAGCCAGUUGUACGUUGUAUGCAUCACUGGUCUAUUGGUCAAUCAGACCAUGGUUACUACUACUACUACAAUACUCAAACUAAUGGUAAGUCAGACCAUGGUUACUACUACUACUACAAUACUCAAACUAAUGGUAAGUCAGACCAUGGUUACUACUACUACUACAAUACUCAAACUAAUGGUAAGUCAGACCAUGGUUACUACUACUACUACAAUACUCAAACUAAUGGUAAGUCAGACCAUGGUUACUACUACUACUACAAUACUCAAACUAAUGGUAAGUCAGACCAUGGUUACUACUACUACUACAAUACUCAAACUAAUGGUAAGUCAGACCAUGGUUACUACUACUACUACAAUACUCAAACUAAUGGUAAGUCAGACCAUGGUUACUACUACUACUACAAUACUCAAACUAAUGGUAAGUCAGACCAUGGUUACUACUACUACUACAAUACUCAAACUAAUGGUAAGUCAGACCAUGGUUACUACUACUACUACAAUACUCAAACUAAUGGUAAGUCAGACCAUGGUUACUACUACUACUACAAUACUCAAACUAAUGGUAAGUCAGACCAUGGUUACUACUACUACUACAAUACUCAAACUAAUGGUAAGUCAGACCAUGGUUACUACUACUACUACAAUACUCAAACUAAUGGUAAGUCAGACCAUGGUUACUACUACUACUACAAUACUCAAACUAAUGGUAAGUCAGACCAUGGUUACUACUACUACUACAAUACUCAAACUAAUGGUAAGUCAGACCAUGGUUACUACUACUACUACAAUACUCAAACUAAUGGUAAGUCAGACCAUGGUUACUACUACUACUACAAUACUCAAACUAAUGGUAAGUCAGACCAUGGUUACUACUACUACUACAAUACUCAAACUAAUGGUAAGUCAGACCAUGGUUACUACUACUACUACAAUACUCAAACUAAUGGUAAGUCAGACCAUGGUUACUACUACUACUACAAUACUCAAACUAAUGGUAAGUCAGACCAUGGUUACUACUACUACUACAAUACUCAAACUAAUGGUAAGUCAGACCAUGGUUACUACUACUACUACAAUACUCAAACUAAUGGUAAGUGAGAGCAUUAAGCAAUACUUUAAGGAGUCUAUAAUAAGUGCGAGGACUACAACUACAAUCAUGCUUUGCAGCACAAAAUGAUACUUCUGCACAUUGCCUAUUGAAUACAUGCAACUUGUCUACUCAUCAAAUAAGAAUUGUGUGAACAGUUCAAAACUUGGGCCAACUGUCUUUUUUGUGAAAUGACUGGAUACCAGUGAUUAUAAUAAAAGUUGAAUCAACCAUGCGUACAGUACUAACAACUGUUUACCCAUUUUUCUUUGAAUCUCUAUGUCAGAGUAAANAUACAUGAUUGACAACUAAUAUGUAUUUGAUACUAAUCCAAUAGAAGGGAGGAUUUUCUGUAGAUUUGUCAUAUUCAUUUUUCAAUAUUUCNUGCAUUGCAGUUACACAGUGGGAAGUNCCUUCAUGCUUGGAGAGAGAUGAAUCUGGAGAAGGGGAUCAAAUACAAGAGCCAAUGUCAAUUAAAAACGUUGUAGAG
rnacentral:misc_RNA from 1 species